CGUGGGGUGGUGAUUGCAACCUCGUGUCGCGUGAAUCUUUGGCAAUUAUUCCGUAAUUUUAUUAAGAUUCAAUACCGAAAAUUGUUCCUAUUGUUAUUAGAAUACAGCAGAGGUGACAUUCAUGAUCUCUUUAAGUGGCGGGUGGACGUGGGCACCGGAUUUACCUUCUGGCUCGAGGUUCAGAGAACUUAAGUGAAGUUCCUUGGAAUUCCCACUGUAAUGGAAAACCUGAAACGAAUAAACUUCA